rfam:Hordeum vulgare subsp. vulgare, WGS project CAJW01000000 data, contig: morex_contig_1635889
CUUAUACUCCCUCCGUCCCAAAAUUCUUGUUUUACGUUUGUCUAGAAAUGGAUGUAUCUAAAUAUUUAUAUAUGACUAGAUACAUUCAUAUCUAGACAAAUCAAAGACAAGAAUUUCUGGACGGAGGGAGUAUUUG